AAGGGAGACCUAAUUCCGGUAGGAGACGAAAAAAAAGUAGUCCCAACCAAGAAUCAAUCCCAAAAGGUCGGAACGAGGUAUGAGGCUUUCAAACUAGGUUCUGGGUUCAUAAAAGACCUGAAUCAGGAACAAGGGCUAUUAGCUCAGGUGGUUAGAGCGCACCCCUGAUAAGGGUGAGGUCCCUGGUUCGAGUCCAGGAUGGCCCACCUGCACAGGUGGCAAAAACAAGAGAAGCUCCGAAUCAGCACCUUACCUUAUAUACAUAUAUAAGAGAGAAUGCUGGCUCUGAGUACAGAGUCCAGAGGAACCUUGAAAACUGCAUAGAGCUAGGUGAAAAAGCCAAAAAAGAAGACCGCAA
rnacentral:tRNA from 1 species